UCACAAUAAUCAUUGAAUGGUUUUUUAUUUUAACAUUUUGCAAUGCAAAUGAGAAUAAUGAUACACAAUUGAUCAUUCCCUCUAAUAUCAUGAAUCAUAU